UAGGUGUCAUGUUGAUGGGAGGCAUUACU
rnacentral:piRNA from 1 species